rnacentral:rRNA from 1 species
UACGUAGGGGGCAGGCGUUAUCCGGAUUUACUGGGCGUAAAGGGAGCGUAGACGGUUGUGCAAGUCUGAUGUGAAGACCCGGGGCUCAACUCCGGGAUUGCAUUGGAAACUGUAUAACUAGAGUGCAGGAGAGGUAAGUGGAAUUCCAAGUGUAGCGGUGAAAUGCGUAGAUAUUAGGAGGAACACCGGCGGCGAAGGCGGCUUACUGGACUGUAACUGACGUUGAGGCUCGAAGGCGUGGGGAGCAAAC